UGCAUUCACAACUGUAAGUCACUCUGGAUAAGAGCGUCUGCUAAAUGACUAGAA
rfam:Salmo salar isolate Sally breed double haploid chromosome ssa01, whole genome shotgun sequence.